UCCCAGCUACUCAGCUACUCGGGAGACCAAGACAUGGAAUAAACUUGACAAGUGCUAAAGAUGCUCUUUGAUUUUUGUGUGGCAUGAGACCUCAGGCUGAAACUUCUCAUCUGAGCCAUUGAAGGGAGCCUCUCAUCUCUCCACUGAGAGGGGAGACCAGAAUGCUCUGUUUCUGGCAGGAAUCUGACACCACUUACUCCUUGGGUAGAAACUCCCCCAAGUCUGAACUAUGUGAUUGCCUGAGCCCUGCUCCUUGUUCAUUAAGACUGCUCCUCUGAAACGGAAUUGAUGAAUUUUUAGUGGCUAUUAGAAGCAUUUGGGAUCCAUAGGCAUCAGGGUUUGAUGCAUGGCCCUCAUCUCUGUGGGCUCCUGUGCAAUGAUUCUCAUCUGUCUUAGUUAGAAAGUGAAUUAAUCUUGACCUUGGCCUCAGGGGUGUGGUUCUCUGCCCUCUUACACAUCUUCAAUUCGCUUCUUUAUCAGAAGCACUUGUUUUAGGCCCAGGCUCCCCCAAUUUUAAUGACAUUUAGACAUUUGUCUUUAAGUU
rnacentral:antisense_RNA from 1 species